rnacentral:rRNA from 1 species
UACAGAGGGUGCGAGGGUUAAUCGGAAUUACUGGGCGUAAAGCGUGCGUAGACGGUUAUGUAAGUCGGGUGUGAAAGCCCCGGGCUCAACCUGGGAAUGGCAUUCGAGACUGCAUAGCUAGGAUGCGGAAGAGGGAAGCGGAAUUUCCGGUGUAGCGGUGAAAUGCGUAGAUAUCGGAAGGAACAUCAGUGGCGAAAGCGGCUUCCUGGUCCAGCAUCGACGUUCAGGCACGAAAGCGUGGGGAGCAAACAGG